rnacentral:rRNA from 1 species
GAUGAACGCUGGCGGCGUGCCUAAUACAUGCAAGUCGAGCGAACAGAUGAGGAGCUUGCUCCUCUGACGUUAGCGGCGGACGGGUGAGUAACACGUGGAUAACCCACCUAUAAGACUGGGAUAACUUCGGGAAACCGGAGCUAAUACCGGAUAAUAUAUUGAACCGCAUGGUUCAAUAGUGAAAGACGGUUUUGCUGUCACUUAUAGAUGGAUCCGCGCCGCAUUAGCUAGUUGGUAAGGUAACGGCUUACCAAGGCAACGAUGCGUAGCCGACCUGAGAGGGUGAUCAGCCGCACUGGAACUGAGACACGGUCCAGACUCCUACGGGAGGAAGCAGGAGGGAAUCUUCCGCAAUGGGCGGAAGCCUGACGGAGCAACGCCGCGUGGGUGAUGAAGGGCUUCGGAUCGUAAAACUCUGUUAUUAGGGAAGAACAAAUGUGUAAGUAACUAUGCACGUCUUGACGGUACCUAAUCAGAAAGCCACGGCUAACUACGUG